rnacentral:rRNA from 3 species
CCUCGAAUCAGGUAGGAAUACCCGCUGAACUUAAGCAUAUC